UACGAAGGGUGCAAGCGUUAAUCGGAAUUACUGGGGGUAAAGGGUGCGUAGGCGGUUCGUUAAGUCUGUCGUGAAAUCCCCGGGCUCAACCUGGGAAUGGCGAUGGAUACUGGCGAGCUAGAGUGUGUCAGAGGAUGGUGGAAUUCCCGGUGUAGCGGUGAAAUGCGUAGAGAUCGGGAGGAACAUCAGUGGCGAAGGCGGCCAUCUGGGACAACACUGACGCUGAAGCACGAAAGCGUGGGGAGCAAACAGG
rnacentral:rRNA from 1 species